CAACGCUCCAAAACUAGUCAAUAAAUAUACAAACCCAUAAGGAUAUACUCUAAUACUCAUUAUAAUCCAAUUUAUAAUAAUUUCUAACCCUGAUCGAAAAGUCGAUAAAAUUCACCCUCGGGCCCAUGUGCCCGGAUUCCGAAAUUUUGAAGAUAAACUUUACCCCAUGGCACCACAAACUCAAAUAUGUAAUUUCUUCCAAAUUCCACGCCCAAAAUCGUGGUCAAAAUCCAGAAAUACCAAAUUCUAAGUUUUCUAUCAAAACCCCACAAUUUCUACUAAUUUCCAUGUUCAAAUCCAUAUAUGAUCAUGUAUUUAGUUUAAAGGAAGUGGAAAUCACUUACCUUGACAUUGAUGACGAAGAAUGAGCUCCAAACUCGCUCCAAGACCGGCUCUCAUGGAGGAAAUGAGGUGAAAAUGAGCCAAUCCCUCGUUUUAAAGAACACACUGCCCUGCCCCUUCCUUCGCACCUGCGGUCAAGUAGCCACACUUGCGGCUUCGCAGGUGCGAGAAACCUUCCGCUUCUGCGCCUGCUUCUACUUAUGCAAGGUACUAUCCGUUUCUGUGCUUGCGCAGAUGCGGCCAAAAGCUCCGAACCUGCGGUCCUUCACUUGGCCAGCCUGCCCCGCUUCCGCGACUCUAAUGUCACUUCUGCGCCCUCUGCAUCUGCGGUCAAAACCUCGCAGGUGCGGGUACACCAGAUAUUAGCUGCCUCAACUCUUCUUCAAAUUCUAAAUUCGAUUCGUCAACCAUCCAGAAUCCACCAGGGGCCGUCGAGACCUUAACUAAUUAUACCAACACGUCUCAAAACACAUUACGAACUUAGUGGAGCCUUCAAAUCACAUCAAACAACGUCGAAUUCAUGAAUCGCACCCCUUUCUAAGCUUAAUGAACUUUAGAAUUUAAACUUUUAUAUUCGAUGCCAAAACCUAUCAAAUCACGUCUGAUUGACCUCAAAAUUUGCACACAAGUCACAUUUGACAUUACGGACCUAUUCCAACCUCCGAAAAUCAGAAUCCGACCCUGAUAUCAAAAGUCCACUCCCGGUCAAACUUCUCAAAAACCUUCAAAUUUCUAACUUUCGCCGAAUGACUCAAGAAUGACCUACGGACCUCCAAAUUCACUUCCGGACACGCUCCCAAUACUAGAAUCACCAUACAGAGCUAUUUUGAGACUCGUAAUCCCAAACGGACCUCAAUAACAUUUAAAUGCACUUCCCAAAAUUUUGAAAUCCUUCUAAAAAUUCUAUUUUCCACAAUAGGCGCUGAAACGCUCCCGGGUCACCCAAUACCCGAUCUGGACAUACGUCCAAGUCCUAAAUCAUCAUACGAACCUGUUAGAACCUUCAAAUCAUGAUUCCGAGGUCGUUUACUCAAAAAUCCAAUCUUAGUCGAUUCUUCCAACUUAAGACUUUCGAAAUGAGAAUUUUCUUUUCAAUACCAACUCCGAUCUCCCCGACAUUCAAUUUCGACCACGCGUACUGGUCAUAAUACUUGAAAUGAAGCUGCCCAUGGCCUCAAACCGCCGGAUGACGCGCUAGAGCUCAAAAUGCCCGAUCGGAUCGUUACAUCUUACCCCUACCUAAAAGGUCGGGAGACUGUUUUCGACAGACCCUCAGCUUAAUGCAAGACAUAACUAUAAUGAAUAACAAAUUAGUACUAUUAUCGAAUAGGGAAUCAACCCACAAACUCAGCAAAAUGAACAAAGUAUCCGAUAGUCAAGAUACCAGAAUCCAAUUAAACUCUAAGCACAAUCUAUCACUAAAUAAUGAAAUCUUUAGGAAUGGAUUAAACUAUAAUUACCCCAAAAACCAAAACCAAAUCAAAACCAAUCUAAUAAUCAAUAACUAAAAGAUAUUUUUUAUAUACUAACACAAUUGUGUAGACAUCAUAAACUUUUACUUGAUAAAAAUUAAUAUUAAUAUAUUUAUUAAAAACAGCAAAAUGAGGUACUCCUCACAAAGAUUAACACCAAACUUUCUCUCACACACAAAAACAAAAAUGCAAGAUCCAAUUUUUUCAACCAAAGCAGACAACAAAAAGAAUAAACAAUUAGUUACUAUACAAUAAUCAACCCUUUAAUCACCAAGAAACCAAUAAUCUAAUUGAACUCUAAGCAUAAUCUACCACUAAAUAAUGAAAAUCUUAUAUCCAACUUUAUAAAUGUACUAAACAACAAACACCCAGAAACACACCAAAAAUAUCUAAAUCAAUCUACCAAUCAAUACCUAAAAGAGAAAAUUGUUAAUCCAAAUCCGAACAAUUAAGAAAAAGAAAGAAAUCUGUUAACCCAAAUCCGAACAACUAAGAAAAAGAAAGAUAUCUGUUAACUAAGUUGGGUACCUUGAAUUUGUAGAAAACAAGCCUUGUGAAUCUCAGCAGCAGCAAAAGCCUCAGCGAUUUUUGUCUCCAAGUAUCUAUUAUAGCACAGUGGAAUGCAAAAAAUUAGAUUUUUUUGUAGAAUUCUAACUAAGGAAGGAAAACUAUAUUUUUUUAGAAUUGGGAGGAGGGAAGCAAAAUUUUUACCCCCAAAAGUUUUUUCUUCUAAAUCUCCAAUACUCUUCAUACAUAGUUCCUUUUGAGUCUUGGGGUGGAGGGAGCGGACUUGAGAAAUUUUGGCGAAACCCAAUUUGAGAUUUUGAGCCAAAAUUGAUUUUAGAUUGAGAGAAGAGAGGGGAUGGGUCCUGAGGUGCUUCUAAGGCUAGGACUAAGUGCUAACCUAUAUUUCUCAACUGUGGUCUAUCAUAA
rnacentral:lncRNA from 1 species